rnacentral:rRNA from 1 species
UACUACGGAAUAACGCAGGGAAACUUGUGCUAAUACCGUAUGUGCCCUUCGGGGGAAAGAUUUAUCGGUAAGGGAUCGGCCCGCGUUGGAUUAGCUAGUUGGUGGGGUAAAGGCCUACCAAGGCGACGAUCCAUAGCUGGUCUGAGAGGAUGAUCAGCCACAUUGGGACUGAGACACGGCCCAAACUCCUACGGGAGGCAGCAGUGGGGAAUAUUGGACAAUGGGCGCAAGCCUGAUCCAGCCAUGCCGCGUGAGUGAUGAAGGCCCUAGGGUUGUAAAGCUCUUUCACCGGAGAAGAUAAUGACGGUAUCCGGAGAAGAAGCCCCGGCUAACUUCGUGCCAGCAGCCGCGGUAAUACGAAGGGGGCUAGCGUUGUUCGGAAUUACUGGGCGUAAAGCGCACGUAGGCGGACAUUUAAGUCAGGGGUGAAAUCCCAGAGCUCAACUCUGGAACUGCCUUUGAUACUGGGUGUCUUGAGUAUGGAAGAGGUGAGUGGAAUUCCGAGUGUAGAGGUGAAAUUCGUAGAUAUUCGGAGGAACACCAGUGGCGAAGGCGGCUCACUGGUCCAUUACUGACGCUG